AUAAAAGGAAAAGGUUGAAGAAAGACUGAACAGUGUUUGGUUGUGGAGAAAGGUUCUAAAACGAAGAUGGAAGGAUUAGAUGGAAGAAACACCUUUGCCACUGCAACAGGAGGGAAGGAACAGAGAAUGCUGUAGACAAAGGCAGAGUGGUUUGGAGGUGAAAAGGUUAGACAGCUUGCCCAAGGUCACAGGCUGAAAACGAAGAUGACAGCAUUCAAGCCCAUCCGUCUGCCCCUGGGCCUCCUCACUGAACCAGCUCUCAGCCCUGUGCCCCAACAGCCCCGCGUCAAAGCUCUUUAAAGAGCUCUACUUGGGGCAGCGCUGAAGACGAAAGCCAGGUGGGAGAUUCUGUGCUAGGAGGCAGAGCAGUAGGAGGCGGCAUCAGCUGUGGAAGAGAGAGGACGAAGCCCAGUGGUGAGAAGGGCAGGAAAGCAGAGAGGUGUGAAAUGAUCUUUUCAGGGAAGGCGUGGUGAGCUGACCAGAGAAAACAUAACAGCAUUUCCAGACAAUGAUUUUCCUAUUCUGGGCCUUCAUAUGAAUGGAAUCAUACAAUACGCAGACUACUGAGCCUACGUGCCACAACUACUGAAGCCCGCAUGCCUAGAGCCCGUGCUCCGCAACAAGAGAAGCCACUGCAAUGAGAAGCCCGCGCAUGGCAACAAAGAGUAGCCCCCACUCACCGCAACUAGAGAAAGCCCAUGCACAGCAACGAAGA